UAUCUUCGGGGCAGGGUGAAAUUCCCGACCGGCAGUAUAGCCUGCGAACCGCUUUUGCGGCCGAGACGGUGCGAUUCCGUCGCCGACGGUAUAGUCCGGAUGAGAGAGGAU
rnacentral:ncRNA from 1 species